rnacentral:lncRNA from 1 species
GUCCGAUCAUAAUUCCACCUCCAGAGGAUUCCUACCUUCGUUCUACUAGAAGACCCUUGAGGCUCGCAGUCGAGAGGACCUCCUGGAUCAAAGAUUCUAAGAGAUGAACUGGUAGAUCGAGGAGCUCAUCAGAUGAGGUCGGCUCAACAAAUUCAUCCGAUACUGAUCUGAAGGUAGGGAGGAUCGGCCGAGGGCCCUACCACAGCCAGAGCUGCCA